UACGUAGGGUGCGAGCGUUAAUCGGAAUUACUGGGCGUAAAGCGUGCGCAGGCGGUUGUGCAAGACAGAUGUGAAAUCCCCGGGCUUAACCUGGGAACUGCAUUUGUGACUGCACGGCUAGAGUGUGUCAGGGGGGGGUAGAAUUCCACGUGUAGCAGUGAAAUGCGUAGAUAUGUGGAGGAAUACCGAUGGCGAAGGCAGCCCCCUGGGAUAACACUGACGCUCAUGCACGAAAGCGUGGGGAGCAAACAGG
rnacentral:rRNA from 1 species